AUUAGUUGGUGGGUAAAAGCCCUCCCAAGGCGGCGGUUUUUUAGCGGGUUUGAGAGGAUGUUCCGCCCCACUGGGAUUGAGAACCGCCCCAGAUUCCUACGGGAGGCAGCAGUGGGGAAUAUUGGACAAUGGGGGGAACCCUGAUCCAGCCAUGCCGCGUGGGGGAAGAAGGCCUUUUGGUUGUAAAGCACUUUAAGCGAGGAGGAGGCGUUCUAGGAUAAUACCCUAGAUGCGUGGACGUUACUCGCAGAAUAAGCACCGGCUAACUCUGUGCCAGCAGCCGCGGUAAUACAGAGGGUGCGAGCGUUAAUCGGAUUUACUGGGCGUAAAGCGCGCGUAGGUGGCUAAUUAAGUCAAAUGUGAAAUCCCCGAGCUUAACUUGGGAAUUGCAUUCGAUACUGGUUAGCUAGAGUAUGGGAGAGGAUGGUAGAAUUCCAGGUGUAGCGGUGAAAUGCGUAGAGAUCUGGAGGAAUACCGAUGGCGAAGGCAGCCAUCUGGCCUAAUACUGACACUGAGGUGCGAAAGCAUGGGGAGCAAACAGGAUUAGAUACCCUGGUAGUCCAUGCCGUAAACGAUGUCUACUAGCCGUUGGGGCCUUUGAGGCUUUAGUGGCGCAGCUAACGCGAUAAGUAGACCGCCUGGGGAGUACGGUCGCAAGACUAAAACUCAAAUGAAUUGACGGGGGCCCGCACAAGCGGUGGAGCAUGUGGUUUAAUUCGAUGCAACGCGAAGAACCUUACCUGGCCUUGACAUACAGAGAACUUUCCAGAGAUGGAUUGGUGCCUUCGGGAACUCUGAUACAGGUGCUGCAUGGCUGUCGUCAGCUCGUGUCGUGAGAUGUUGGGUUAAGUCCCGCAACGAGCGCAACCCUUUUCCUUACUUGCCAGCAUUUCGGAUGGGAACUUUAAGGAUACUGCCAGUGACAAACUGGAGGAAGGCGGGGACGACGUCAAGUCAUCAUGGCCCUUACGGCCAGGGCUACACACGUGCUACAAUGGUCGGUACAAAGGGUUGCUACACAGCGAUGUGAUGCUAAUCUCAAAAAGCCGAUCGUAGUCCGGAUUGGAGUCUGCAACUCGACUCCAUGAAGUCGGAAUCGCUAGUAAUCGCGGAUCAGAAUGCCGCGGUGAAUACGUUCCCGGGCCUUGUACACACCGCCCGUCACACCAUGGGAGUUUGUGCACCAGAAGUAGGUAGUCUAACCUUAGGGAGGACGCUACCACCGUGGCCAAGGAUAAAAAAAAAAAAGCCC
rnacentral:rRNA from 1 species